AGACGGCUCUAGUCAACAUCUGCACAACAGCAUCCUCAAAGAUGUGUUUGGGUGUGAUUGUAGCCUCUUCUCUCAGGACCACAGCAGUGCUUUUAUAGCUCAGUGAUGUUUACAACAGUGACCUCAAAAAUGAACGGUAUCACACACCACCACAAAAAAGAGUCAAUCUUAUGAAAGCUGUCAGGAACAUAUUGGGUUAUGUUUAAUUCUAAAAGCAAAAGAAAAAAAAAUUAUGUUUAGCAGAUUUUUUUGUUUUGUUUUGCAAAUUAAAAGAAAAUGAAUUCUAUUUUUAUAACCAUUAAGAUGUUUUGCAUUGUUAUGAUAUCUUUGACAUUUAUGUAAAUAAAUAAAUAUAUAUAUAUAAAUAUAUAUAUACAAUUGAAAUUAAAUUAAAGUAAAUUUUAAAAAUAAAUAAAUAAAUGGGAUGCAUUACAGGGAGACGGUGUGUCAUCGUCAUGAAAAUAAUGAUGCAAAAGAAUGUUUUGCAAAUUAAAAGAAAAUGAAUUCUAUUUUUAAGACCAUCAAGAUGUUUUGCAUUGUUAUGAUAUCUUUGACAUUGUUUAAUUGUCAUGAAAAUAAUGUGACUGUGAAAAAUCGCAAGGGUCCUGAAAUAGACUAGUCUUUAUGCACAACAUAAUUUUUUAUAUAUAUAUAUAUAUAUGGAAAUUAUGUUUUUGAGAUUCACCCUCAGAAGAGUCCUUCCCGUUAAGCCAUAUUUUAAGACACACAAAGUGGGUGACCUUUCUUUUUAUAACAAUAUGGAGACCGAGACAGAGCAGACUAGUAUAAAAGGCUGUGGUAUGUAAAUAGCUUAAUCACAUUCAGAGCCAAGAACGGUUUCCUGUUUGCUUUCUACAGUAUUCUAGUAAACACAGCGUCCGCUCUGACAGGAGAGGGACUGGAGACGCUCCAAGAGAAUGGCAAACAUUAUGCAAACUUUAAAGCUGAGCACAUAUGAGAAAAAAAAAAGCCCACGCUCCAAUAUGCCAAAAGUGAAGCAGGAACUAAUGAAAAUAUUUGGACAAAUGUAAUGGAAUUAAAGCAAUAGUUCACCCAGAAAUGAAAAUCUGUCAUUAUUUACUCACUCUCAUGUCGUUCCAAACCCGUAAGCUGUUAUUUUUUCCGUGGAACAAAAAAGGAGGAAUCUUCAUCAGUCUUCGCCAGAACCUGGUCUGCACCAUUUCGAAUGAGAUUUGACGAUAUUUGGGUCUGCUCCUCACUUUAAACUAUCAUAUGAUUUCUGAAGACUUGAAUAUAGUGAAUGGACUGAUGUUUUUCUGUCCUUCACAGACAUGGUUUGAAGAUGACGAGAAGCACAAAGAUUCAUCAAAACAUCUUUUGUGUUCCAUUAAAUAAAGAAACUCAGGCUUAUAGAGACUGUCUUUCACGUGUCAAGCCCACCAACAAACUGGCGGUAAAGGAUCAGAUAUCGCGUAAGAAUGCCGCUAUUAUGAUGGUGUGCGAGGAACACUGGCGGUCAUGGUGGUAAGAGUAACACAGGCCCUUCUCUCAAAUGCCUGAGCCGCUCCUCCCAGUCUAUUAGUCCAAAUUACUCUUAAUAACCACAGUUACACGAGAGCCGCCAAAUGAUUACAGCGGCGUGCGCUUCACACUCCAGACCGACCACCAACUCCAUCCAGCCCUGCAUCUGAUCACUCGCUGCAGUAACUGUGCAACAAGCAUUCACUUCACUUCACUACCUACAGCAAUAAUACUGAUGCUUGUCUUCUUGUGUGUCUUGGCUCUCAUUGGCUGAAGAUAAUUGGAUCAGUCUCCAGUUGAAUCUCAAGCUGUGUUUGGAAGUCAUGACUGGUAUUUUCCUUGAUAAACACUUGCACACAAAGUCAGAAAGAAAAGCUGAAGAUGAAUGAGGCGAGUGAGAUGAAAGGCCGUCACAUCAGAGAUGCCCGAGGGGGGCGAUUAAUCCGUAAUGAAUGAAGAUCACACACUGGCAUAAAGUGCCUCUGAAACGCCGCCACCAGAUGUGUUAAUUGAGACGCGGAGGAAAAGAAGGAAGAAAACAAGACGUUAAGAAGCGAUAUUGUUGGUUUUGCCGCCAGAAAGUUAUCUCUGAGGACGAGGCCAGUGGCAACAGCUGUGUGCCAGGCAGGUUGGCAUGUGCUUCUUCUGAACGCGCCAGAGCCGGAUCUACAGCAGCGCUCAUCAGACUCUGUGUCUCUGCGUAUGACGCCAUGAGGAAUCUGUUCAUGAGCCCCCGAAAGCACAUUCGCAGACCCACCCGGGCCCAUCCCAGCGAGCUGAUACCAAACACACACGGUGGCGGGCACUGCCCAGCCAACCAACCCUGGCAUCUGCCAUCCAUCCAACGGUUGCUGUCCAGCUGCUAAAAAUAUCCUAAAACGCUGGCUCAUUCAGAAGGGUUUUUCUGUUCGAAAUGAUUUCCUAAACAGAACGAGACAGACUGCAUGUGAAAUGCAUAAAGUCCUGAUCAACAACAAACAUCCCGCCCUGUUCUAAUCCAACCAGCAUAGCCAUAUCCAUUCAUAAAUAAGGGCGCAGUACUUCUGAAAACACAAAACUGUUUUGUCUCAGGAAACGCAGUUGCUUUUAGUAACUCGAGGCGGCUUAUUUUUUCUGAUGUCAUUUGUUUGAUUGUGGUCGAUCUUAUUCUAAUCUUCCACAUCGCGCCUCGUAUCGUUUUCCAUAUUUAAUUUCCUUAUGCUGCGCUAUCUCCUCCCUGACUUCCUCUUCCAGAUCCCGUGUCAUAGAUAGAAGAAACUUAAGCCUGCAAAGGUGUGGGUCUCCAUGCGGGCCAAGGCCCUGUUGACUGUGACAGCUGUGAGGAGAUAACACGGAUGCACACACAUGCACACUGAUAGCGUGUUGAGGGUGUGUGAGGACAUGCAUUGCUGCAGGAAUGCGCUGAGACCAGCCGACCGCUCAAGAAACCACCGUCUGCACAGCCACGUCCGCUCUGACUGAUAACCCAUGCGCCAGCAAAAUGAAACCACAGACCUAAAAAGCUGCAAUACUGAUUUAUAGGGCAGAUUAUUGCCAUAUUCAGGUCUAAAUGUUUUUUUUCCCCUUCAUAAUUGUUCCAAAAUCUAUCAGCAGCCAUGUCAAUGGAUGAUAAAAAAUCUCUUUUCAAAUAUUUUUCGUGCAUUUAGUGUAAUUUAGUUAUUUAUUGUGUAAAGUAGUGGUUAACUGAUUUACUUUUUAUUUUUAUUGGCCAAAGCCCAUAACAAUAACAGUAUCUACAAAACAGGAUAGUUGAUGACCAAUACAAUACAAUAUAGUAUAAUAUAAUAAAAUUA